AACGAACGCUGGCGGCAGGCUUAACACAUGCAAGUCGAACGCGUGUAGCAAUACACGAGUGGCGCACGGGUGAGUAACGCGUGGAUAUCUGCCUUUUGGUUCGGAAUAACUCCGGGAAACUGGAGCUAAUACCGGAUGGUUCCUUCGGGAUAAAGAUUUAUCGCCAAAAGAUGAGUCCGCGUACGAUUAGCUAGUUGGUGAGGUAAUGGCUCACCAAGGCGACGAUCGUUAGCUGGUCUGAGAGGACGAUCAGCCACACUGGGACUGAGACACGGCCCAGACUCCUACGGGAGGCAGCAGUGGAGAAUAUUGGACAAUGGGGGCAACCCUGAUCCAGCCAUGCCGCGUGAGUGAUGAAGGCCUUCGGGUUGUAAAGCUCUUUUGGCGGGGACGAUGAUGACGGUACCCGCAGAAUAAGCCCCGGCUAACUUCGUGCCAGCAGCCGCGGUAA
rnacentral:rRNA from 1 species